CAAAUACUUCCUUCGUCUCAAAAUUCUUGUCUUAAAUUUGUUCUUAUACGGAUGUUCCUACUCACAUUUUAGUGUUAGAUACGUUCGUAUGUAGAUAAAUCUAAAACAAGAAUUUUGGGACGGAGGAAGUACUUU
rfam:Triticum aestivum genome assembly, contig: Triticum_aestivum_CS42_TGACv1_scaffold_458004_5DS